ACCCACCCUCUGUUCCAGGCAGAGGCGUCUGUUGUGUAAUAGGGAAGAAGAUGAGAAGUAAAAAUCGCCCACAAACAGAAGCUGGAACAAAAUAUUUCAUCCAAGUCUUUGUCCUUAGCAUUCUACUCUUAUAAUGCAAUGCUGAGUAAUGGGCAAGAUUAGGAUUUGUUGGGUUAAAUUUACAACACUAUCCGGGACUGUGCAUGCUUACUGGAAAUUACUGAUCUGUUUAAGAACAAGUGCCCUGCUAAUGCUGCCAACACACUGGUGCCAACCAUCUGUCCUCUGAGAAACAUAGAGGAGGAAGCUACAGUGAUCUAAGAGCGGUGGGCAAAUGAACACUAAUGAAACACAAUACUCGAUCCAUUCAUCAUGACAUUCGGACGAUAUUAUAUCAACACUUCGCAUAUGAUCCUGUGACAUCACAUCACAUCACUAUCUGCCGUUUGAUCCGAAGCUGAAGGUCAGUGGGAACAUUUAACCAGGUUUUGUGGUUCCAACCUUACCUUAGUGGUUUUCAAAACACUGACCACAACAAAGGCAUCAUUAAACUCUGGCUUUAACAGGCUUUAAUUAAUAGGGUCAUUCCAUGUAUCAGGUCAGUCAGCUGAACCGUUUGCAGUCACCACAGAUGAGCUCAUCGUGCGCUGCUCUGAAGAACACAGAUUCUCAUGACACACUAUUGCUGGCACAUAGAAAAUUCAACUGCAAUAGCUGCAAUAAACAGUUUAUGAUACAGUAGAUGUUAUCACAUGUUCUUCCCUUGGUUAAUAAUGUCUAAAUAAUGCACACAAGCUUGGCCAUAUCUAAUUCCUGCAGUGAACUCAAUAUUUUACAGCUGUUAUAAUAACACAUACAAAACUGGAAUUUUAUAUUAUGACAGAGUGCUUAGCUAGUAUAUAUUAACCUAAAAGUAAUGACAGAAAGUAAUUUAGACUCAUCUCUCAUUUUAUAAAAGCCAAUAAAAAUCAUUAAGGUGAUAUUUUUAUUACAGCUGUUUUACUAAACCUUCACCAUUUUAGACUUGAGAUAUGGUUCUAGGUGGAUGACCUUCUGGUCAUGUUUACUGGCUUUAAAUAGUUGUGACAGGAGCUAAAAGAUUUAACAGAUCGUGUUUUUCACAGAUAAUGUUAACAAGUCUUAUGUUAGCAUGCAUAAUAUUAAAAUACUCUUUAAAAUAUUAAAUACAGAUAAAGUUAGGAAAUAUUGCGGUUAUUCAGCAAGGAUGCAUGAAAUUGAUCAAAAACAACAAAAGAUUUCCAUUUCAAAUAAAUGCUGUUCUUUUCAUUCCUCAAAGAAUCCUGGGGGAAAUUUAGUAGAGUUUCCACAAAAAUGCUAAGCAGCAAAACUGUUUUCAGCACCGAUAAUAAUAAGAAAGGUUAAAAUACUAUCAUUCUGAAGGAUCACGUGAGACUAGAAUAACGGCGGCUGAAAAUUUAGCUUUGGCCAUCACAGGAAUAAAUUAUUAUUUUUUAAAUAUAUUAAAACAGAAAAUUGUUAUUUAAAACUGUAAUAACUUUUUUUAAAUAUUAAUGUUUUUUACUGUAUUUUUUAUCAAAUAAAUGCAGCCUUGGUGAGCAUAAAAGACUUCUUUCAGUAGACUCCAAAACAGUAAUCGAUAGAUAGAUAUUAUUAUUAUUUUUUUUAAGAGAUUUUGUAUUAUUAUAUUGCAUUCACAAGGCUUUCCCAGUGGAAAGCACCCCUGACAUGGGAACCUUGGCUGCCAUGGCAACAUGCCACGAAAUUAAAUAUUUACUGCAGUGGUUCUGGCCAGCCAGUGUAUAACAUAGAUUCCUUCAGCUGCUGUUUUAACAGACCAGGUGCACAUUGACAUUAACCCAUUUGUUAUGCUUACUGAUUAAUUAACAAUGACAGGGCUACGAAAAGUCAUCCAGUUUGCUCAAGUGAUAUUGCUGCUUGACUUUUUAAUAGUCAAAAACAUUCCUUAGUAAGUCACACAAGGUUAAAAAUUGUCCAGACUUUGGCACAUUAUUAAGCCAAUGAGAAAACGUCAGUCUUUAGCAAUGUGGGUCAUGUCCGGCACAUUAACAACAGCAGUUUAUCAUGUGACCAGGAGCUCUUGGUGUGUUUGUCAUAUCCCACUUAAGCCAGCAAAUGUGUAACUUGUACUCAAGUUAAAAGUUAAGCAGCUAAAUGUGAUUGCACCACAUGCUAGAGUACAUCCGGCUAGUGUGAUUACAGCUUCAUCUCAGAAAUGUC